UACGGAGGGGGCUAGCGUUGUUCGGAAUUACUGGGCGUAAAGAGCUCGUAGGCGGCUUGUCACGUCGGAUGUGAAAGCCCGGGGCUUAACCCCGGGUCUGCAUUCGAUACGGGCAGGCUAGAGUGUGGUAGGGGAGAUCGGAAUUCCUGGUGUAGCGGUGAAAUGCGCAGAUAUCAGGAGGAACACCGGUGGCGAAGGCGGAUCACUGGGCCAUUACUGACGCUGAGGAGCGAAAGCGUGGGGAGCGAACAGG
rnacentral:rRNA from 1 species